rnacentral:ribozyme from 1 species
AGAAGCAAGCAUUGAUGUGUUGCCAAAAAUCAUCAGCAGUGCUGAUGCAUUCUCUCAAGGCACACUGCAAAAGAAACACCAAGCACAAUCAGACAAGGGAAUUGUCCUUCG